rnacentral:lncRNA from 10 species
UCUUGAAUUCUGUCCCUCCAAGGAGAGGGCAAUGCCUGAGCCCACGGAAGUUGGGUCAGGGGCAGCAUUGGAAGUCAGAGCCUGCAAUGCUCACGUAAAUGCAAAAGAUGGUUCCUUCAGUGCCAGUAAGAAGGCUGUCUUGAACAUGAGGAAUACAGCAGCAAGCAAGACAGAGAGGUGCCUGCUUUCUGGGGAGACAACAAACAGAUAAAUAAGCACAACACUGUCCUGCCAAGCUAAGUGACAUCAAUGAAACAAGGCAAGGUAAUAAGAAGAGGCUGGGAAAAGGCUUAGCUGUGAUUUUGCUUUCUGCAGUUUGAGUUGCCUAUGUUCAACAGAGGUUCAAAAAUAUUAAAUGGAACAUUUCAGAAAUAAACAAUCCUAAGUUUAAAUUGCA